AACGAACGCUGGCGGCAGGCUUAACACAUGCAAGUCGAACGGUCUCUUCGGAGGCAGUGGCAGACGGGUGAGUAACGCGUGGGAAUCUACCUAGUUCUACGGAACAACAGUUGGAAACGACUGCUAAUACCGUAUACGCCCUAUGGGGGAAAGAUUUAUCGGAAUUAGAUGAGCCCGCGUAAGAUUAGCUAGUUGGUGAGGUAAUGGCUCACCAAGGCGACGAUCUUUAGCUGGUCUGAGAGGAUGAUCAGCCACACUGGGACUGAGACACGGCCCAG
rnacentral:rRNA from 1 species